GUGUAAGUAUAAACAAAUUCAAACUGUGAAACUACGAAUGGCUCAUUCAAUCAGUUAUAGUUUGUUUGAUGGCAUCUACUACUCGGAUAACCAUAUUAAUUCUUGAGCUAAUACGUAGAACAAACCACAACAUGUGGAAGGGAUUCAUUUAUUAGAUAAAAGGUCGACGUGGGCUCUGCCAAUUAUUGUGAUGAUUCGUGAUAACUCGACGGAUCGUAUGGCCAUCGUGCCGGCGAUGCAUCAUUCACAUUUCUACCCUAUCAACCUGAAAUCCAAUAAUUUCUAACUUUUCAAAUAUGAAGUUUAUCGAUUGCUUCCAUCCUUGGAAGGAAAAAAACCACUAAGUGUUGAAAUAUAAGUACGGAG
rnacentral:ncRNA from 1 species